rnacentral:misc_RNA from 1 species
ACAGCUCUUUCCCCACUUUUUUUCCUCUUUUGCCCUUCUAUGUCAAUUACUUUGUUAUUCAUCUUGUUGGAGAACUGACAUUGACAAAUCAAUCUAUUUCUUCUUGGUCAAAACGUCAUCUUUCCAUCUCUUAUGAAAAGAAACGAACAUAGCAGGCCUCAAAAUCAUAUGAACUGAAAUUCAGUUCUGAGUUCGAACAAACAGUAUGUAGCUUCCUUCAGUAAAAGCUUCCAACAUUCUUCAAUAGACCCGAAUGACUCAUACUACGACUACCUUUCAG